AAUCUUGAUGUUUAAAAAGAGAAAAAACACUAAAACGUAAUAAAAACAGUCAGAGAGUUAGUGUAUUAAUCAGCUGAUGUGAACAGAAGUUGGUGUUUUGUAGCUGUUUUGUAAUAAGAGGUUUAAAUGGAUGGAGAGAGCAGUGAGUUUAGAGCAGCAGGGUUUUUGUACGGCCACUAAACCUGUUUGUAUCACUGUGGUGGACUUUCGGUGGAGGAACUAAACUCAUUGUGAAAACUGGUCCGGUGGUGAAGCCCUCCGUGUCUCUGCUCCCUCCGUCCUCUCUGCAGCUCUCUGAGGGAUCGGCCUCGUUGCUCUGCCUGCUCUCGGCCUAUUCUCCACAGGGGGCGCUGCUGAGCUGGACUGUAGACGGUGUCGAGGUGAACGAGGGGGUUCUGACCAGCACAGAAGAACAGAAGAACGGCAUCUACAGCCGCAGCAGCACCCUGACCCUCAGCAAAGAACGCUGGGAAGAGGCCGAGGUGUUCGGCUGUACCGUCUCCCACCACGACACCACUCAGAUCACCUCGUUCCGAAAGAGCCGCUGUGAAGUCCACUAGAAUUCAAGUGUACACUUUAAAACACGCUUAGCAGUCUGAGGUGGUGUCAGUGGUGUAGCUAUGCUGAAAUAAAGCUUCAAUGUGGAAAGCAUGUCUCCUUUUUCAC